AUCUCUGUAGUGCAAUGAAUAUCGCGUUGGACUUUUAAUCCAGAGGUCGUGGGUUCGAAUCCCACCUGGGAUA